CAACGAUUCGUACACUGCCACAUAUAUAACCAGAUAGAUUCAAGCUUUACAACUUCGAGCAGUCGAAGCAACCAAUCCACACCGCUCUGCCAUUGUGGAUUGCCCUGUACGAUUAAGACCUCUUGGACACAAAACAAUCCGGGUCGGAGAUUUUAUGGCUGUCCAAGAUAUAGGAUGCAGGAGAGUAACACUUGUAAUUAUUUUGGG